UUGCUUCAGCAGCAUAUAUACUAAGAUUGGAACAACACAGAGAAAAUCAGCAUGACCCUCACAUAAAGAAAAUGCAAAUUUGUGAAGCAUUUCAUAUUUUU
rnacentral:snRNA from 1 species